GUAUAAAUAGAAGUGGGUCCUCUCAUAGUGUCCCAUGCUAGAGCAUACUGGCUCCUAACCAUUGCCCAGCCUUGGUGCAUGUAGGUUGCUGGCACUGAAGUGGGUCACACAGUG
ensembl:snoRNA LOC120094463 small nucleolar RNA SNORA42/SNORA80 family